rnacentral:rRNA from 1 species
UACGGAGGGAGCUAGCGUUGUUCGGAAUUACUGGGCGUAAAGCGCGCGUAGGCGGCUUUGUAAGUUAGAGGUGAAAGCCCGGAGCUCAACUCCGGAACUGCCUUUAAGACUGCAUCGCUUGAAUCCAGGAGAGGUGAGUGGAAUUCCGAGUGUAGAGGUGAAAUUCGUAGAUAUUCGGAAGAACACCAGUGGCGAAGGCGGCUCACUGGCCCGGUACUGACGCUGAGGAGCGAAAGC